GUAGUCUCGCACAGAUGCAUAUCAAUAAGCGGAGGAAAAGAGACUAACUAGGAUUCCCCUAGUAACGGCGAGUGAAGCGGGAAGAGCUCAAAUUUGAAAUCUUAAAGGGUUUCCCUUUACGAAUUGUAGUUUAAAGAAGUGUUUUCUGUUGAGGUUUUGGUAAAAGUUCUUUGGAAUAGGACAUCAUAGAGGGUGAGAAUCCCGUAUUUGACCUUUACUUUCAACUUUGUGAUACACUUUCAAAGAGUCGGAUUGUUUGGGAAUGCAGUCCAAAAUGGGUGGUAAAUUUCAUCUAAAGCUAAAUAUUGGCGAGAGACCGAUAGCGAACAAGUACCGUGAGGGAAAGAUGAAAAGAACUUUGAAAAGAGAGUUAAACAGUACGUGAAAUUGUCAAAAGGGAAGCGUUUGACACCAGUGUUGUUUUUCUGAAAAUCAAUUAAAGAACUGUUUAUGCUAAGCUGUUUAGACUUUAUCAGCUAACUGUUUAGUUUUGAGCUUUUCUUUAAUGCACUUUUCAGUUAACAAGUCAACAUCAAUUUCUUUUGCUGUAAAAAAGCUUGAGGAAGGUGGCUUGAGAUUCGUCUUAAGUGUUUAUAGCCUCUUGCCUAUGCAGUCGGAGAGAUUGAGGUCUGCAGCGUAGAUCCUUCGGGGCUAAAUGCAUUUGUGCUAAGUUAUAGCAUUUUAUAGACAACUUGUUGACUAUGAUUUGUCUUGUAGCUUACUCGCUUAUGUUAUUUUACCUACGCUUAGGAUGUUGACAGCAGUAUAGACUGU
rnacentral:rRNA from 1 species